GGUCGGGUAGCCGAGUGGUUCAGGCAAAGAUCCUGCAAAGUCUUUCACAGGUUGGUUCGAUUCCCCUCCCGACCU
rnacentral:tRNA from 1 species